rnacentral:rRNA from 1 species
UGGGGAAUCUUCCGCUAUGGACGAUAGUCUGACGUAGCAGCGCCGCGUGAAUGAUGACUUUCUUCGGGUUGUAAAGCUCUGUUAAUCGGGACGAAUGGUUCUUGUGCAAAUAGUGCGAGUUUUUGACGGUACCGGAAUAGAAAGCCACGGCGCUUUACGUGCCAGCAGCCGCGAUAAUACGUGGGUGGCAAGCGUUGUCCGGAAUUAUUGGGCGUAAAGCGCGCGCAGGCUGAUUGCUCGGUCUGUCUUAUCAGUUCGGGGCUUGACCCCGAGAUGGGAUGGAAACUGCCAAUCUAGAGUAUCGGAGAGGAAAGUGGAAUUCCUAGUGUAGCGGUGAAAUGCGACUUUCUUAGGAAGAACACCAGUGGCGAAGGCGACUUUCUGGACGAAAACUGACGCUGAGGCCGCGAAAGCUCNGGNAGCCGAANGGGAUUANAUACCUACGGUUGUCNUGGGCGCNGUUUUANNNNACUAGGUCGUGAGGAGGUCAUCGACCCCUUCUGUGCCGGAGUUAACGCAAUAAGUACCCCGCCUGGGAGUACGACCGCAAGGUUG